AGUGCUUCUAUGUAAACAUCAAGCACCAUAUUGGUGCAAUUUGCGUUAAGGUGCCCUGAUUUCGCUUCGUGAAAGCGAUCACAAACAAACUCUGCAAUACUUGUUUGC
rnacentral:ncRNA from 1 species